ensembl:lncRNA
UUUGAUUAUAUAUGACACUUUGAAAUUUAGAAAUGACACUUUGCUACAAUGUAAAGUAGUGAGUGUACAGCUUGUGUAACAGUGCAAAUUUGCUGUCCCCUCAAAAUAACUCAACACACAGCCAUUAAUGCCUAAACCGCUGGCAACAAAAGUGAGUACAGAACACAAAUAUAUGUGUGUGUGUAAUGUACAUAUAGUACUGUGUAUAUAUGUGUGUGUGUGUGUGUGUAGUGUACAUAUAAUACUGUAUAUGUGUGUGUGUAGUGUACAUAUAAUACUGUGUAUAUGUGUGUGUGUGUGUAGUGUACAUAUAAUACUGUAUAUGUGUGUGUGUAGUGUACGUAUAAUACUGUAUGUGUGUGUGUAGUGUACAUAUAAUACUGUAUAUGUGUGUGUGUUGUACGUAUAAUACUGUAUAUGUGUGUGUGUGUAGUGUACAUAUAAUACUGUAUAUGUGUGUGUGUGUAGUGUACAUAUAAUACUGUAUAUGUGUGUGUGUGUAGUGUACAUAUAAUACUGUAUAUAUGUGUGUGUAGUGUAUGUAUAAUACUGUACAGUGAGGGAAAGAAGUAUUUGAUCCCCUGCUGAUUUUGUACGUUUGCCCACUGACAAAGAAAUGAUCAGUCUAUAAUUUUAAUGGUAGAUUUAUUUGAACAUUGAGAGACAGAAUAACAACAAAAAAUCCAGAAAAAUGCAUGUCAAAAAUGUUAUAAAUUGAUUUGCAUUUUAAUGAGGGAAAUAAG